rnacentral:tRNA from 1 species
UGGGGUGUAGCUCAGUGGUAGAGUGCUUGUCUGGCAUGCGUGAGGCCCUGGGUCCAACCCCUAGCACUGCAA